rnacentral:rRNA from 1 species
UGCUUUACACAUGCAAGUCGAACGGUAGAGGGGGCAACCCCUUGAGAGUGGCGAACGGGUGAGUAAUGCAUCGGAACGUGCCCAGUCGUGGGGGAUAACGCAGCGAAAGCUGUGCUAAUACCGCAUACGAUCUCUGGAUGAAAGCGGGGGACCGAAAGGCCUCGCGCGAUUGGAGCGGCCGAUGUCAGAUUAGGUAGUUGGUGGGGUAAAGGCUCACCAAGCCAACGAUCCUGUCGCUGGUCUGAGAGGACGACCAGCCACACUGGGACUGAGACAUGGCCCAGACUCCUACGGGAGGCAGCAGUGGGGAAUUUUGGACAAUGGGCGCAAGCCUGAUCCAGCAAUGCCGCGUGCAGGAAGAAGGCCUUCGGGUUGUAAACUGC